CAGAUGCAAACUAAAGCGCCCCACCGAUGCGCGUGCCGCUGAGCACAUGGAGGAGAGAGGACGCACACUUAGCAGCCUGGCUAAUGUAGCCUGUGGGUCGCAAAAUAUUGGCAAAUGAAGAACAUUUCAGAUCUGGAAAGUGGACUGACUUGCUUAAAGCGUCCUACAUGGAUGAGAGAAAAAUAUUGAGGAUGUGAGCAGUCCCUUCACCUUUUAAGAGUUAUCUUCAAAAUGGAGCUAGUUCUUUUUCCUAAGUUUCAGUCUCAGAAUCCAGUCAUAGUAUCAGUCACCCUGCCAGUGAGGAAUAUGGUGAAGAGGCUGUCCUGUGCGAUAAGAGACCUACACCGGACAGCAUGACCUUCAGAGGACUGGACUGAACUUGGACUGUGUUUAGGCAGCAUGAAGUAGAGAACAACCUCCUGCUGAAGCCAUGAGUCACACUGCCAUCAACCUCAUUUAAACCAUAGCACUGAUGUCACUGGAUAUGUUAAAUAGGUCAGGUGCACCUCCAUGUGCCACAUACUGUUCACAAAAGAAGACUGCAUCCAUGUGAAUUGGUGGUAAAUUGGUCUAAUGGUGGUAAAAGCUUAAGUCUUCAGGAGUCUUCAGAAAGGGGUCAACCAAGUAUUUUUGCAUAUAUAUGUAUACAUAUACAUAUAUAUUGUCAUUAUUGUUAACAUUCAUAACAGGUCUCCAUGCUCUGUUUUUCUCCGUUUUCCUCUGUUUUGAAGGGUUUGUUUAAGCACAGUAUGCACCGUGUAACCCCAGAGUGAACCCAGUGUGUUGUAAUAAUAAAAUGCGUAUUAAUCUGUGAAUGCAUUUAAAAUCUAUGGAUAAUGUAAAGGUUAUAAUGCCCUUACGUUUUAAUGAUUAGGUGACUGUAGAUAUAUAGUGAGAUGGUUUAAGUGAGACUAGCUGUUACUCCUCCUGGGCUGAGGAUUUUCUCGUGGAUCUCCAGUAAAGCCCAGGUUAAUGGAAUUGCUUCAGAUCUGGUUUUGGGGAUUGAGAAGCCUCUGUUUAGAUUAAUGUGAGCGCC
rnacentral:lncRNA from 1 species